CUUUACUGUAGCUUUGCAUUGGACUUUGAACCGGUCUGUGUAGGAUAGGUGGGAGGCUUUGAAGCCAGGACGCUAGCUCUGGCGGAGCCAACCUUGAAAUACCACCCUGGUUUGUUUGAGGUUCUAACCAUGGCCUGUGAAUCCAGGUCUGGGACCGUGCAUGGUAGGCAGUUUGACUGGGGCGGUCUCCUCCCAAAGAGUAACGGAGGAGUACGAAGGUACGCUAGGUACGGUCGGACAUCGUGCUAAUAGUGCAAUGGCAUAAGCGUGCUUGACUGCGAGACCCACAAGUCGAGCAGGUACGAAAGUAGGUCAUAGUGAUCCGGUGGUUCUGUAUGGAAGGGCCAUCGCUCAACGGAUAAAAGGUA
rnacentral:rRNA from 1 species